AUUGAACGCUGGCGGCAGGCCUAACACAUGCAAGUCGAGCGGAUGAAGGGAGCUUGCUCCUGGAUUCAGCGGCGGACGGGUGAGUAAUGCCUAGGAAUCUGCCUGGUAGUGGGGGAUAACGUCCGGAAACGGGCGCUAAUACCGCAUACGUCCUGAGGGAGAAAGUGGGGGAUCUUCGGACCUCACGCUAUCAGAUGAGCCUAGGUCGGAUUAGCUAGUUGGUGGGGUAAAGGCCUACCAAGGCGACGAUCCGUAACUGGUCUGAGAGGAUGAUCAGUCACACUGGAACUGAGACACGGUCCAGACUCCUACGGGAGGCAGCAGUGGGGAAUAUUGGACAAUGGGCGAAAGCCUGAUCCAGCCAUGCCGCGUGUGUGAAGAAGGUCUUCGGAUUGUAAAGCACUUUUAGUUGGUAGGAAGGGCAGUAAGUUAAUACCUUGCUGUUUUGACGUUACCAACAGAAUAAGCACCGGCUAACUUCGUG
rnacentral:rRNA from 1 species